rnacentral:rRNA from 1 species
UGAGUGGCGAACUGGUGAGUAACACGUGGGAAACCUGCCCAGAAGCGGGGGAUAACACCUGGAAACAGAUGCUAAUACCGCAUAACAACUUGGACCGCAUGGUCCGAGUUUGAAAGAUGGCUUCGGCUAUCACUUUUGGAUGGUCCCGCGGCGUAUUAGCUAGAUGGUGRGGUAACGGCUCACCAUGGCAAUGAUACGUAGCCGACCUGAGAGGGUAAUCGGCCACAUUGGGACUGAGACACGGCCCAAACUCCUACGGGAGGCAGCAGUAGGGAAUCUUCCACAAUGGACGAAAGUCUGAUGGAGCAACGCCGCGUGAGUGAAGAAGGGUUUCGGCUCGUAAAACUCUGUUGUUAAAGAAGAACAUAUCUGAGAGUAACUGUUCAGGUAUUGACGGUAUUUAACCAGAAAGCCACGGCUAACUACGUGCCAGCAGCCGCGGUAAUACGUAGGUGGCAAGCGUUGUCCGGAUUUAUUGGGCGUAAAGCGAGCGCAGGCGGUUUUUUAAGUCUGAUGUGAAAGCCUUCGGCUCAACCGAAGAAGUGCAUCGGAAACUGGGAAACUUGAGUGCAGAAGAGGACAGUGGAACUCCAUGUGUAGCGGUGAAAUGCGUAGAUAUAUGGAAGAACACCAGUGGCGAAGGCGGCUGUCUGGUCUGUAACUGACGCUGAGGCUCGAAAGUAUGGGUAGCAAACAGGAUUAGAUACCCUGGUAGUCCAUACCGUAAACGAUGAAUGCUAAGUGUUGGAGGGUUUCCGCCCUUCAGUGCUGCAGCUAACGCAUUAAGCAUUCCGCCUGGGGAGUACGGCCGCAAGGCUGAAACUCAAAGGAAUUGACGGGGGCCCGCACAAGCGGUGGAGCAUGUGGUUUAAUUCGAAGCUACGCGAAGAACCUUACCAGGUCUUGACAUACUAUGCAAAUCUAAGAGAUUAGACGUUCCCUUCGGGGACAUGGAUACAGGUGGUGCAUGGUUGUCGUCAGCUCGUGUCGUGAGAUGUUGGGUUAAGUCCCGCAACGAGCGCAACCCUUAUUAUCAGUUGCCAGCAUUAAGUUGGGCACUCUGGUGAGACUGCCGGUGACAAACCGGAGGAAGGUGGGGAUGACGUCAAAUCAUCAUGCCCCUUAUGACCUGGGCUACACACGUGCUACAAUGGAUGGUACAACGAGUUGCGAACUCGCGAGAGUAAGCUAAUCUCUUAAAGCCAUUCUCAGUUCGGAUUGUAGGCUGCAACUCGCCUACAUGAAGUCGGAAUCGCUAGUAAUCGCGGAUCAGCAUGCCGCGGUGAAUACGUUCCCGGGCCUUGUACACACCGCCCGUC